rnacentral:rRNA from 1 species
CACGUAGGGCGCAAGCGUUGUCCGGAAUUAUUGGGCGUAAAGCGCUCGCAGGUGGUUCGUCGCGUCGUGCGUGAAAGACCCCGGCUCAACUGGGGAGGGUCGUGCGAUACGGGCGAACUGGAGGCCAGUAGGGGGAUGCGGAAUUCCGGGUGUAGUGGUGGAAUGCGUAGAGAUCCGGAGGAACACCAGCGGCGAAGGCGGCAUCCUGGACUGGUCCUGACACUCAGGAGCGAAAGCGUGGGGAGCGAGUCCGG